GACGAACGCUGGCGGCGUGCUUAACACAUGCAAGUCGAACGGAAAGGCCCUGCUUUUGUGGGGUGCUCGAGUGGCGAACGGGUGAGUAACACGUGAGUAACCUGCCCUUGACUUUGGGAUAACUUCAGGAAACUGGGGCUAAUACCGGAUAGGAGCUCCUGCUGCAUGGUGGGGGUUGGAAAGUUUCGGCGGUUGGGGAUGGACUCGCGGCUUAUCAGCUUGUUGGUGGGGUAGUGGCUUACCAAGGCUUUGACGGGUAGCCGGCCUGAGAGGGUGACCGGCCACAUUGGGACUGGGAUACGGCCCAGACUCCUACGGGAGGCAGCAGUGGGGAAUAUUGCACAAUGGGCGGAAGCCUGAUGCAGCAACGCCGCGUGCGGGAUGACGGCCUUCGGGUUGUAAACCGCUUUCGCCUGUGACGAAGCGUGAGUGACGGUAAUGGGUAAAGAAGUACCGGCUAACUACGUG
rnacentral:rRNA from 1 species